rnacentral:rRNA from 1 species
UACGAAGGGGGCUAGCGUUGCUCGGAAUGACUGGGCGUAAAGGGCGCGUAGGCGGCACACACAGUCAGGCGUGAAAUUCCUGGGCUUAACCUGGGGGCUGCGUUUGAGACGUGUGAGCUAGAGGAUGGAAGAGGCUCGUGGAAUUCCCAGUGUAGAGGUGAAAUUCGUAGAUAGUUGGGAAGAACACCGGUGGCGAAGGCAGCUCACUGGGACGAUACUGACGCUGAGACGCGAAAGCGUGGGGAGCAAACAG